AUGAUAAGUAGCUUCAUGUAAUUUGGAACAAAACUCUCGCGAGUCUAUCCUGCAUCUCAGUGACUGCAGACUCGUAUUUGGUGCAACUAGACAAUUUGAAGUUAUACGAGGACAAGUAAUGGACAAAUGUCUCAACAAGCCACACGCGUGGACAAAUGCUAUAGGUUGUUAGUUUCAAGGAACUUAUAAUUGAUGAAGAAUCAAUGGAGAUUACCUCUGACGACAAGUUACCACUAAUGAGGAUUAUGGAACUAGCCUAUGAUGUCAAUUGUCAAGUUACCAUCUGAUGAAGAUUAAGGGAACUUACCACCGAAGCGAAUUACCUCUAGUGAA